rnacentral:rRNA from 1 species
UACGUAGGGUGCAAGCGUUAAUCGGAAUUACUGGGCGUAAAGCGUGUGCAGGCGGUUUUGUAAGUCAGAUGUGAAAUCCCCGGGCUUAACCUGGGAAUGGCAUUUGGGACUGCAAGGCUGGAGUGUGGCAGAGGAGACUGGAAUUCCUGGUGUAGCAGUGAAAUGCGUAGAUAUCAGGAGGAAUACCGAUGGCGAAGGCAGGUCUCUGGGCUGACACUGACGCUCAUGCACGAAAGCGUGGGGAGCAAACAGG